rnacentral:rRNA from 1 species
CCUUCCGUAGGGUGAACCUGCGGAAGGAUCAUUGUCGAAUCCUGCCAAGCAGAAUGACCAGAGAACUUGUGACGAACUCAAUGGGGGCGAUGGGUCUUCUUUUCCCAUCGUCCCUCGACGCCAGGAUCCCACGGGCGCCUGGAGCGUUCGGGGCAUUCUCGGCGGCACACAACGAACCCCGGCGCGGAAUGCGCCAAGGAACUUGAACAAGAGAGCGAUGCUCCCACCACCCCAGACAUGGUGCGUGCGCUGGGAUGCCAUGCAAUCUCCCAUUAUUCAUAACGACUCUCGGCAACGGAUAUCUCGGCUCUCGCAUCGAUGAAGAACGCAGCAAG